CCUAUAGCUGCAUAGUAUGACGUCUGGUGGCGAGAGUACUGCUGAGUACGAUAGAUCUGGCAGUUCCAGAGCUGUUACCAGAGACAGCAGUCUAGCAUUUGGAGCGAGAUGGUGCGUAUUGGCGCUUUUCCUGACUUGCUGCAUUAUAAGAAGAAAAAAUGAGCCGCUAGCCUACGACAGCUUGGAUUUUACUUGGUCAACAUGACACAAAAAAUGUAUGAAAGAGAACAAAGUGCUAUCGUGAAGUAGGGAGAGCUGUGAGGAGACAUGGAAAAGAAGAGUGAGGAGGAAGUCUCUUCAUCAUCACAUUAAGCCUAGUCACAAUGAAGCAAGUCCGGUUGAGGCAGCUUCAUUAUUCCAAGUAACGGGCAGGUCAAUAACGUCAUAAAGUCACUUGGUGGUCAAGAGACAACCUAGACUGGAAGGAACGUGAAAGGCAACGCACCUAAAGUCACGUUUACAGUUAUAUUUUAUGGACUAACAAUUCUUCACAAGUUGGACAGAUAGUUGCAGUACUUACUUAAAGAUAGGCCUACGUCAAAUAUCGCAGCCUAUACACAAUCAAGGAAACAAGGAGAAAUGAGGACGAUUGUAACAUACUUGUGAUCCCAUAGGACUGAAUGUUUAAUCUCCACAAAGAAUUUACACUCUUUGCUGUCACAAGUGUUUUUUCCUGUUUUCUGCACUAACUCCAGCGACGUAGAAGCUGAAAUAGGUUAAAGAGCACUCCUCCCUCAUUCUAAAGUUUUUUCAAUUCCUUGUGUUCUGAAUAUUUUGUUGUUAUUUUCAUAAGGAAUUCUUAUGAGCUCACACUGAAUAGCAGAUGUGUGAACACAUAAUAAGGGAAUAUCAUUUUAGAUGUUUAAACUAUUAAGUUGCAUGUUUCAAAUUCUAGAGUUUAUAGUUACCAGUUAAAAGGACUGAGGUG